rnacentral:rRNA from 1 species
GACGAACGCUGGCGGCGUGCUUAACACAUGCAAGUCGAACGGAAAGGCCCUGCUUUUGUGGGGUGCUCGAGUGGCGAACGGGUGAGUAACACGUGAGUAACCUGCCCUUGACUUUGGGAUAACUUCAGGAAACUGGGGCUAAUACCGGAUAGGAGCUCCUGCUGCAUGGUGGGGGUUGGAAAGUGUCGGCGGUUGGGGCUGGACUCGCGGCUUAUCAGCUUGUUGGUGGGGUAGGGGCUUACCAAGGCUUUGACGGGUAGCCGGCCUGAGAGGGUGACCGGCCACAUGGGGACUGAGAGACGGCCCAGACUCCUACGGGAGGCAGCAGUGGGGAAUAUUGCACAAUGGGCCGAAGCCUGAUGCAGCAACGCCGCGUGCGGGAUGACGGCCUUCGGGUUGUAAACCGCUUUCGCCGGUGACGAAGAGUGAGUGACGGUAAUGGGUAAAGAAGCACCGGCUAACUACGUG